rnacentral:rRNA from 1 species
UACGUAGGGUGCGAGCGUUGUUCGGAUUUAUUGGGCGUAAAGGGUCCGCAGGUUGUCAACUAAGUCUGAUGUGAAAUCCUAUGGCUCAACCAUAGAACUGCAUUGGAAACUGGUCGACUAGAGUAUCGGAGAGGUGAGUGGAAUUCCUGGUGUAGCGGUGGAAUGCGUAGAUAUCAGGAAGAACACCAAUAGCGAAGGCAGCUCACUGGACGAUUACUGACACUCAGGGACGAAAGCGUGGGGAGCGAACAGG